CGUGCCAGCAGCCGCGGUAAUACGUAGGGUGCAAGCGUUGUCCGGAAUUACUGGGCGUAAAGAGCUCGUAGGUGGUUUGUCGCGUCGUCUGUGAAAUCCCGGGGCUUAACUUCGGGCGUGCAGGCGAUACGGGCAUAACUUGAGUGCUGUAGGGGAGACUGGAAUUCCUGGUGUAGCGGUGAAAUGCGCAGAUAUCAGGAGGAACACCGAUGGCGAAGGCAGGUCUCUGGGCAGUUACUGACGCUGAGGAGCGAAAGCAUGGGUAGCGAACAGGAUUAGAUACCCUGGUAGUCCACGCCGUAAACGAUG
rnacentral:rRNA from 1 species